UACGUAGGGGGCUAGCGUUGUCCGGAUUUAUUGGGCGUAAAGAGCGUGUAGGCGGCCAGAUAGGUCUGCUGUGAAAACUCGAGGCUCAACCUCGAGCUGUCGGCGGAAACCAUCCGGCUAGAGUCCGGAAGAGGAGAGUGGAAUUCCCGGUGUAGCGGUGAGAUGCGUAGAGAUGUGGAGGAACACCGAUGGCGAAGGCAGCCCCCUGGGCUAACACUGACGCUCAUGCACGAAAGCGUGGGGAGCAAACAGG
rnacentral:rRNA from 1 species